UAACUACCACCUAUGGGUAUACGUGGAUUAUCUUUAGAAAAUGACAUAAUCAUGCGCCGACAUAAGGUAGUAGUACCAAUGUUACACCGACGUGAAGUGUUGAAGUAAAUUCACCACUUGGGAAUCGCCAAGAGUAAAAAUGUAGCUAGAUCAUAUGUUUGGUGGCCAGGUAUAGACGCAGACAGAAAAGUUUAUACAAAACUUUUCUGCAUGUCUACUGCAAAGUCCGUCACAAUCAAAAGCACAGUUGUUGUCAUGGGAAGCGGCUUAAAGAGUUUGGAGCCGAGUUCAUGUAGAUUUUACCGGCCCGGUAAAAGGAUGGAUCUUCCUAAUAAUAAUCGAUGCGCUAUCAAAACGGGUCGCGAUUUUCAAACGAAACACUGUAUGGCACAGUUUGUGAUCGAAAAGAUAAAGGAGUGUAUUGCACGGUUUGGAAUAGUUGACGAACUGGUAAGCGACAACGGUAGCCAGUCUGUGGCUUCAGACGUAAAAAGAUUCCAUUCCACCCUCGGAGAGUGGAGAGCCACAGUGAGAGAUAGACUAAGUCAUGAAUUGAAUAGAAUGUAGAACGGAUCUCUAAGGCUGUGAACCAUUUCGCGGUUAACUAACUUUUUCUUGAAAUCUGGCAGUUGAGUGGUUGUUUUGUGUCGAGUAGGUAAAUUUAACUAAAACUGCGUCCCAUUUUAAAAUUUGACGGACGGAAAGUUAUUUGGGGUUAUUUUCCACUGGAAAUAACUUCAAGUAAAGAAUUAAUAUUAGAAUUUUCAUUGCAAGAUUUUUUUCAGUGUCGGGAAAUAACCAUCGAUCUAAUUAUUAACUAAUCAAAUUAACCGCUCAAAUGUCAUAUUUUAACCAAAACAGACCGAGAGAGUCAAGAGCGUUGCAUUUCUACGAGGAGUGUGAGCAGGAAUGUAAGAGGCGAUUGAGAGUGUGAGUUAAUAGUUAGAUAUCGUGGGAUUUUCACUAAGGGUGUGUUGAAACAUUUUACUGCUAUUUUGGGUGUAGUUUGAAGAAAUCGUAAAUUAGACAAGUUAUGAAAUUUGCUAACGAACUGAAUUGUUUUGCCUACGAAUUGAAAAGUGUUUUGUUUACAAAGUAUUGUUAUUACAUAACUUUUAUAACCAAUUUCCUUGAAACCUUUUUUUGGUUUGAGUCGUGGUUGCGCUGAGUUGAUAUUUAUGGUCGAAAUGUUUUUUUGUGAGGUUUGGGAUCUGGGUUACUGUGCUCGAAGAAUUGUAUGAUUUUCGUUCAGACAUGUGAUUAGUUUUGAAGGUAGGAGAGUUUAUUUAUAUUCUAAGAUUUUGUGAUUUUUCCUUGGAACGUAUUUCUCGAGAGUUUUGUCAAGUGCGUGUAGUGGAUAUUCAUAUCACAUCUUGCAAGGCACUCUUUUCAUCGCCAGUAUCAAUACGAAGAAAAAGCCUGGAAACUCUUUAAAUGACACAUACUGAUUCUGAAACUGUAUGAUUGAAGUUUUCCAACGGAUAUUAGAAUAGUGUUACUAUCUUGGUGGAUUGGAAGAAUCGGCUACUGGUAUUCUACAAGAACUUUCAAAGCCUUUGAGCUGGUCGAUGCCUGCAGAAAAAAUCUGUCGCAGAUUGAAAAAACAAGACGCUCAAAUUUGUGACUUAAGAUUCG